rnacentral:rRNA from 1 species
GAAAGUUCCACCGUAGAAGGUAAUAGUCCUGUAAGUGAAACGAGAAGACCACGAGUUAUGAUCCAGAGUACCACGAGACACGUGAAACCUUGUGGGAAGCAGGGAGGACCACCUCCCAAGGCUAAAUACUACCUGAUGACCGAUAGUGAAGCAGUACCGUGAGGGAAAGGUGAAAAGAACCCCGGGAGGGGAGUGAAAUAGAACCUGAAACCGUGUGCCUACAACCGCUCAGAGCCCCUUAUGAGGGUGAUGAGGUGCUUUUUGUAGAACGAGCCAACGAGUUACGGUAUGUAGCAAGGUUAAGUACUUAAGGUACGGAGCCGAAGGGAAACCGAGUCUGAAUAGGGCGACUAGUUGCAUGCCGUAGACCCGAAACCGGGUGACCUAUCCAUGGCCAGGUUGAAGCGAGGGUAAAACCUCGUGGAGGACCGAACCACGUUGCUGUUGAAAAAGCAUGGGAUGAGCUGUGGAUAGCGGAGAAAUUCCAAUCGAACCCGGAGAUAGCUGGUUCUCUCCGAAAUAGCUUUAGGGCUAGCGUCGAGUAUGAGUAGUGGAGGUAGAGCACUGAAUGGGCUAGGGGGCAUAGCGCUUACCGAACCUUAUCAAACUCCGAAUGCCACAUACUUUGAGCUCGGCAGUCAGACUACGAAUGAUAAGAUCCGUGGUCAAAAGGGAAACAGCCCAGAUCGUCAGCUAAGGUCCCAAAGUGUAAGUUAAGUGGGAAAGGAUGUGAGAUUUCUAAGACAACUAGGAUGUUGGCUUAGAAGCAGCCAUUCAUUAAAAGAGUGCGUAAUAGCUCACUAGUCGAGAGAUCUUGCGCCGAAAAUGUAACGGGGCUAAACUUACC